rnacentral:rRNA from 1 species
AGCGAACGCUGGCGGCAGGCUUAACACAUGCAAGUCGAGCGGGCGUAGCAAUACGUCAGUGGCAGACGGGUGAGUAACGCGUGGGAACGUACCUUUUGGUUCGGAACAACACAGGGAAACUUGUGCUAAUACCGGAUAAGCCCUUACGGGGAAAGAUUUAUCGCCGAAAGAUCGGCCCGCGUCUGAUUAGCUAGUUGGUGAGGUAACGGCUCACCAAGGCGACGAUCAGUAGCUGGUCUGAGAGGAUGAUCAGCCACAUUGGGACUGAGACACGGCCCAAACUCCUACGGGAAGCAGCAGUGGGGAAUAUUGGACAAUGGGGGCAACCCUGAUCCAGCCAUGCCGCGUGAGUGAUGAAGGCCCUAGGGUUGUAAAGCUCUUUUGUGCGGGAAGAUAAUGACGGUACCGCAAGAAUAAGCCCCGGCUAACUUCGUG